UACAGAGGUCUCAAGCGUUGUUCGGAUUCAUUGGGCGUAAAGGGUGCGUAGGUGGCGCCGUAAGUCAGGUGUGAAAUUUCGGAGCUCAACUCCGAAACUGCAUUUGAUACUGCGGUGCUUGAGGACUGGAGAGGAGACUGGAAUUCACGGUGUAGCAGUGAAGUGCGUAGAUAUCGUGAGGAAGACCAGUGGCGAAGGCGGGUCUCUGGACAGUAACUGACGCUGAGGAGCGAAAGCGUGGGGAGCGAACAGG
rnacentral:rRNA from 1 species